rnacentral:rRNA from 1 species
UACGGGGGGGGCAAGCGUUGUUCGGAAUUACUGGGCGUAAAGGGUUUGUAGGUGGCUCGCUAAGUCAGACGUGAAAUCCCUCAGCUUAACUGGGGGACUGCGUCUGAGACUGGCAAGCUUGAGUGCAGGAGAGGAACGCGGAAUUCCAGGUGUAGCGGUGAAAUGCGUAGAUAUCUGGAGGAACACCGGUGGCGAAGGCGGCGUUCUGGACUGUAACUGACACUGAGGAACGAAAGCCAGGGGAGCAAACGGG